CCGUCCGGCGUCCUAGGCGGGUCGCCGCAGGACCUCCCUCGUGUCUGUGGCGGUGGGAUCCCGUGGCCGUGUUUUCCUGGUGGACCGGCC
rfam:Homo sapiens chromosome 22, GRCh38 reference primary assembly.